CUCUUAGUGCCACCGAAUGGGACCCCUAAACAUGGGCAGGAUGGUAAAUGUGUAUUUUACCACAGUGUGCUUUUAAACUGCUGGUGUCUUAGCACAAAUCAAGGCCAUGGCCCCAAGCUCUACUAAUGGACAUCGGAUCCUUCAUCACCAAACACCUGACGUGCUUGAUGGCCUGGAAGUAUCAGUUUUAUCAAAUCUUGACACUUGAGUACAGGUGUUUUGGGGGUGGGGGGGGGCGUUGUUUGUGGUUUCUUUGUUUUUUGAGACAAGGUCUUGCUCUUUCAUCAGCCCUGACGACCCAACAGGACCUGAGGAGACCUACGAGGACUUGGGCAGGUGUCACUCCCGGCUGCUUCCAUCUUGUAUGGAAGAGAGCAGAGGCCGGUAUACUGUGGCUGCGCCUGGGGUCCCAGCUGCUCGGGAGGCUGAGGCGGGAGGAUCACCUGAGCCCGGGAGGUCGAGGCUGCAGUGAGCUAUAAUCGCACCACUGCACUCCAGCCUGGGCCACAGAGUGACAUCCUGUCUCAAAAAAAUAAGUAAAUAAAUAAAAAGGAGCAGAAAUAGGAGCUUUGGGGCCUUGAAGAUGAGUAGCCAAAGCCACCUGGGUCUGAGGCCGGGGUCCCGUGGGGCAGUGGGUCCGAGCUCCAGCUCAACCACAUCUGGAGGGAAGGCCUGGACUUGCUCCUAACUUACAAGAAGCCCCUCUGAGCCGGGCACGGGGGCCCACGCCUGUG
rnacentral:lncRNA from 10 species